UUUUUUUUUUUUUUUUUUUUGUAGAAUAAAAGUUUCAGUCAUUGUUAGGAAUCAGAAUAUGCCUCGAAACCAUAGUUCUUACUAAUUGAAUUUGCAGUUUUUUGUGAGAAAACAAACUAUUGUUAUAAAUUGAAUCAAUUUGUGUUAUUCUUGAACCUUUUUUUGACUUUUAGAAUUAUGUUUCCAUUACGUGCACAAGAGUUUGUUCUGUUCAGACUUCAGAGUUUAAUUGGGGCAACAAUAUGAACUUAGAACUUGGAGUUUGAUUGGAAUGAUUGUCAAGUCACAAAGAAUUUUGAGAAUUAUCGAAUGAAAUGAAUGAGGCCUUGUGGUUUUCCAUUGAGAAGAAACAUUGGAGUGGUUAGUUUUUUGUAUUAGCGCUGGAACCAGACUCUUAUAAGCGUGCUUAGGAAUUAAGCUUUUGCAGUUAUCCACUUAAAACAAAAAAACUAACUUUUAAAAUAUCUUUUGUAGCCUUAGGCUUUUUCUAGCUUGGGUAUAAAUUUGGUGGCAAGUUGUGGUAAACCACAGUAACUAGUGGGCAAAGCACAGACUAUGUGUGCAAAUUGUAAAAGAAAAUAAUGAAAAAAUAAAUUUUGAAAAGACGAAGAAUACCAAAUCAAUUAUAGCAACAAAGGAUGAGAAAACUUUGUGCUAACGUAUAGUUAUCGUUUUUUUUUUUUUUUGAAAUAUUAUAUUAGUGUUAUGAGUUAGUGACAGUUUGAAGAAAGUUAUUCUAAAAUCUCAUUUGGAGUUACAUAACUUAUAAAAAAAAAGUACUUCUAACACAAGUGUUUUAAGCAAGAGUAUUUUUAAGUUACACCAAAAAGUGCUCGUGCUUUAUGUAUAGUGAGAUAUAAAUUUGAGAGAAUAAUGAUACACUAGUCCACGUUUGAUUCAUUUAAAUUUAUUUAAAGGAUGUAACAAAUCUAAUAAGAUUUAACUUGACAUUAAAAUUGAAACGAAUAAAAAAAAAUCACGAAUUCACAUAUAUACAAUUAGGCAAUUUUUUAAUAUAAUAUUGUAAAAAGUGACACCAUUUCACCCCUCAGGUUUGAAGAUACACAUAAUUUAAUUUGAGUGAAACUCUUCUCCCCACACCAUAAAUUGAUAUGGGUGAUUUAUUUGUGUAACUAAAUCAAGUAGGGGUAGUGGUUUGUGCAAUUACAUUGAGGUGUAGAUCAAAAAUAUUUGAGAAUAUAAAACUUUGUAAAAAUUAAGAACCAUCUACCAUUUUAUAGAUCAAAUUGAAAAAAAAAAGUGAGAAUUUAAGGGGCAAUAUUUAAGGUUAUUUAAGGAAAAAAAACUUUAAUACAAUUGUUUAUUGUAAAAACCUUUACCAUAAAUGUAUUUUAGAAUUUUAAAACAUUUUUUGAAUUUUUUGGAUUGUUCGACAAGAAUCAUCCCUUUCUUCUUCCUUUUUCUCGGCCACUCACUCCGCCGCCCGCCGCCCCACCCCUUUGCUGCAUCCUCUUUCCCCUUCCUCCCAUCUCUUGAGGUGGAAACGGGACAGAAGCGAUCAUCAGAAUGAUCGCUCCUGAGCUGUUAAUGACCAUGAUUUGGUGUCAACAAAUUGUGCGGGUCCAGAUCACAAGUUGUGCAUCGAUUUUCACACCGUAUGUGGAACCCAUAAAAUUUUGUACUAAAGUUACACGUUGUGCAAACAAAGUUACGCCGUAUGCAACCAAAGUUACGCGCUGUUGAAAAUGGCCAAAACUGUUGGGAACGAUUGCACGUGCAACUGUCCGUACCCCUUGUCCCUUUCCUCACCACCAUCAACUUUCUCACAAUGUUCGCCCCUCUUUUCCGCUACCCAUUCACACAUUUCUCCCCCACCCCCUUGCCACAUCCUCUUUCCCCUUCCUCCCAACAUCUCUUUCCUCGAUCCCUUCCCUUCUAUCCCUGCUUUUUCCCCUCCUCCCUCCACCCCCUUCUGCUAGAUCAAAGGGAAGGAAGGAAAGGUGGGAGUGCCAGGGAGGUAGGAAAAUAAGGUGGGGGUGGUGAGAAAAGAAAGGCAGGAGGUAGAGUGGGGUAGGUGCGGAGAAGAGGUAUGAGUCUGUCUUUCUUUUGGAAGAAAUAUAGCACCUCCCUUGAGCUCUAUUAACUCUCUAUAGUCUCUUAGAGUGAGGGCGAGGGUAUUGCGAAUUUUUUGGGUUACUUUUUGGGGUGUUUUUGCAUUUUCUGGGUCAAUGUUUUUUUGCUCUAGAAGUUUUUAUUUACUCCCAUGUUCAGUCCUCAAUUUAAAGUUUAAACUAUUUACGUUUUAGUCUCUAUAUAUCUUGGAAGUUGGAAUCUUAAAGCCGUUUGUUGAGUCUACACAGACUUUUGCCAAAUUUGAUCGUAAAGGAAUCCUGAUUUUCAUCCCAAGAUUCAAUUAAGCUGGUAAGAACACUUAGUAAAGUCCACAAAAAAAAAUUGUAAAUACAACUAUAGCCCCAAAUUUCUAUUCAUCCCUCGCGGCCUUGUAAACCAAAAUACUACACCUAUCAAGCAUUGGAAUCUUGACAUCUAACCCUGAAUAUUCUAUACUAAUAAUCCAAAAAGUUAUCCAUAAUCCAGGUGACUGGUAAAAGAUGUAACUUGAGAGAUUGUUUGCAAGGAAUGCCAAGAUAAAGAAACGAAGAAUAUACAAUUCCAGUUCACAGCACAAGACUAAAAGACUAGAAGUAGAAAACUGUUCAGAAAAUGUCAUUCAUUGACAACGUAUGAGUCGACAGAAGAACCAAAAUUGGACACAGUUUAGUCCCAUCACCACCUCCCAACAACAAGGAUGGAAGAUCACAGUAUAGUUCUUAAGAGGGAAAAUCCUAAGAACCAAGACUAGCUAAUUUAUCAGCUCAAUCACAAGCAGCAUCAGAAGAAGUUGGUUCAAAUAUGGGCAACUGCUCGUUGCAAAUUCAGUUGCAAGCAAAU
rnacentral:lncRNA from 1 species